UUAAAUAUUAAAACGCGCUCACUAAACAUAAAACAGAAAGUGCAUAGUGGAAAGAAGAAAAUCAAGAGCAGCAUCAAAAUAUGAUCGUGAAAACUGCUGUGUUUACUAUUUGUUCCCGUUUUCCCGCCUCCUUGACUAGUUUACGCCAGCUUUUCAUUGGGCACAGGUAUCUCCCGCUUUUCGGAAUUGCAGGCUAAGCCACUUCGCUUUCACCAGAGACCUGCCUUAGUGCCUGUUUUCACUAACUGGAAGAAAUGUAAAGAGCAUUUCCGGGUCUACGAAGCGAUAACGUUCGGCGUUUGUUUUACAGCGAGCUGAGCAUUAGAGAGGCGGUGCGCACCCGGGCACCCGAGAACGGCCCCGCCACGCUCCUUCCCUGGGAACCACAUUCAGCAUCUCAGGAGCCAGCUGUGGCAGCAUUAACUAUUUGACUGCCUGUGCUCUAGUCAUCCAACACAAUGAACUAAGUACGUCAGGCAAGAUAAAAAUAACAUGCACGCUGGUUUUGCUGUGGAUGGAAAGGUAGACAGCAGCACUGCUUGUGGGAGAUGCACCUCCUGAUGCCUCCAGUCAGAAUUGCCUCCUGCCUCAAGAAGUUCCCACGGCCCUUGUCCUGGCCACUGUCAUCCCAGCUAUUCCAUUAUAAUUAUGUCAUCCGAGUCUCCCAGACCCCAACGAGGUCCAGCGAGAUAAAAAGACUCACCCAGGUCAAGUAGCUAACCGUGGCAGAGUGAGGACCACAACCUGCACCUUCCGCCUGCACAUCCAAUGCACUUUCCCCGACACAGCUGCAGCUCUGAGAGCCCAGGACCUAAAUAAAGUCCAUGAGAAAGUCUUUAAUUGCUGCAAGGGAACUGCUCAUAAAAUGCCGAGGCUCCACACCCAUGUUCAGAGCAGCAGCAUUUGCAACAGCUGAAUGGUGGAGGCAAGCUACGUGUGUAUGGAUGGAUGAAUGGAUAAAUAAAAUGUGGUAGCUACACACAAUGGAUGACUAUUUAGCCUUAAAAAGGAAGGACAUUCUGACACAUGCUACAAUAUGGAUAAACCUUGAAGACAUGCUAACAGAAAAAGACAGCCUGAAGAGGACAAAUCGUAUGAUUCCACUUACAGAGAAGUAUCUAAAGUAGACAAAUUCACAGGGACAGAGUAGAAUGGUGGUUGCCAGGGGCACUAGGGAGGGAGAAAUAGAGAGUUAUUGUUCAGUGGGCACAGAAUUUCAGCUUGGGAAGAUGAAGAGUUUUGUGCAUGCAGAUGGUGGUGGCGGUUGCACAACCAUGUGAAGGUACUUAAUGCCUCUGAACUCUACGCUAAAAAGUGGCUAAAAUGGCAAGUUUUAUGUUAUGUGUGUUUUACCGCAAUUUUUUUUUAAUUAAAAAGAAAAAAUGCUGAGACUCCUCUAAUACCAGCUCGGACAGGACAAAGGGCGAGAGGCAAGGACAGACUCUACGGGAGUGUGCCCAUUGGGUCUCUUGCUGGAACAAAAAUGAUGUGUGCAGUGGACAUCCGGACCCAUAUGACUGCCCAGCAUCCCCUUCCUCU